AUUUCAUCAGGAGGGCAUCUGUCUGUGUAGCAGCCCAGCCAAACCAUCAUGAAAUGACCAACUCAGGCACAAAAUCUACUCAGCUCAUCUUUACCAGGAUAAUUGAUUACUGUCAUCAUUAUGUACAUAGCAUCAAGAGGUGCUGAGCAUUUGACAGACAUGCCUGACAUUUUCUGAUUACUGGAAGGAUUGGGAACACAGUUAAGUGAGGUAGAAAAAGUAUUUGGAAAGCACUUCAGAAGAAAAUAACUUCUCAAGAUAAAUACCAGUCAAGCAAAAUGCCAUGGGAGAAGAAAAUUUAACACAAGGGGGACUUGAAGAAAAAGAGAUAAGUAGAGGACACAAAGGAGCAUUGACCUUAAAAAGAGGACCAAAGAAAAGCCUGAAAGGAAAGAAGACUAUCAAGUACCUGAUUUCCACCUGCUGCAAGCGAAAAGUAUUAUCUAAGAGGGUGACAUUAUGCACACCUUGAGAGAUACUAAGAUCCUCCGACUUGUGCCAAUUAAUUUGUACCCUGAGAUUUUUCCAAACAAUUCAAUAGUUUGUAAUAUGUUGGGAAUGGCCUGAAGGGGCAGGCAAUGAAUAAAAGUAU